rfam:Aedes albopictus isolate Foshan contig51192, whole genome shotgun sequence.
UGCCCAGCAACUUCUAUCCCUACCUCCACGCGGUACCGGCCGGAAACUAUGAGCAACCUUAGGGAAGA